rnacentral:rRNA from 1 species
GGGUGAGUAACGCGUGAGAAUUUGGCUUCAGGUCGGGGACAACAGUUGGAAACGACUGCUAAUACCGGAUGUGCCGAAAGGUGAAAGAUUAAUCGCCUGAAGAUAAGCUCGCGUCUGAUUAGCUAGUUGGUGGGGUAAGGGCCUACCAAGGCGACGAUCAGUAGCUGGUCUGAGAGGAUGAUCAGCCACACUGGGACUGAGACACGGCCCAGACUCCUACGGGAGGCAGCAGUGGGGAAUUUUCCGCAAUGGGCGAAAGCCUGACGGAGCAAUACCGCGUGAGGGAGGAAGGCUCUUGGGUCGUAAACCUCUUUUCUCAAGGAAGAAGAAAGUGACGGUACUUGAGGAAUAAGCAUCGGCUAACUCCGUGCCAGCAGCCGCGGUAAUACGGAGGAUGCAAGCGUUAUCCGGAAUGAUUGGGCGUAAAGGGUCUGUAGGUGGUACUGAAAGUCUGCUGUUAAAGAGUCACGCUCAACGUGAUAAGAGCGGUGGAAACUACAGAACUAGAGUGCGGUAGGGGCAAAAGGAAUUCCUGGUGUAGCGGUGAAAUGCGUAGAUAUCAGGAAGAACACCGGUGGCGAAAGCGUUUUGCUAGACCGCAACUGACACUGAGGGACGAAAGCUAGGGGAGCGAAUGGGAUUAGAUACCCCAGUAGUCCUAGCCGUAAACGAUGGAUACUAGGCGUGGCUUGUAUCGACCCGAGCCGUGCCGGAGCUAACGCGUUAAGUAUCCCGCCUGGGGAGUACGCACGCAAGUGUGAAACUCAAAGGAAUUGACGGGGGCCCGCACAAGCGGUGGAGUAUGUGGUUUAAUUCGAUGCAACGCGAAGAACCUUACCAAGACUUGACAUCCUGCGAAUCCCGGUGAAAGCUGGGAGUGCCUUAGGGAGCGCAGAGACAGGUGGUGCAUGGCUGUCGUCAGCUCGUGUCGUGAGAUGUUGGGUUAAGUCCCGCAACGAGCGCAACCCUCGUUUUUAGUUGCCAGCAUUAGGUUGGGCACUCUAGAGAGACUGCCGGUGACAAACCGGAGGAAGGUGAGGAUGACGUCAAGUCAGCAUGCCCCUUACGUCUUGGGCUACACACGUACUACAAUGCUACGGACAAAGGGAAGCUACACAGCGAUGUGAUGCGAAUCUCAGAAACCGUAGCUCAGUUCAGAUCGAAGGCUGCAACUCGCCUUCGUGAAGGAGGAAUCGCUAGUAAUUGCAGGUCAGCAUACUGCAGUGAAUUCGUUCCCGGGCCUUGUACACACCGCCCGUCACACCAUGGAAGUUGGUCACGCCCGAAGUCG